GGUUGCGAUCAUACCAGCACUAAUGCACCGGAUCCCAUCAGGACUCCGCAGUUAAGAGUGCUUGGGCGAGAGUAGUACUAGGAUGGGUGACCCCCUGGGAAGUCCUCGUGUUGCAACCC
rnacentral:rRNA from 1 species